UUGUGGCCUGAAGACUGAGUGCUUUGAGUGCUUUUCUUUCCUAUAGUGUUCUGUAAUAGGCCAUAAAAUUCAAUAAAAUUUUGAGUACUUCCUUCUUCUGGUGUAUACAAAGACCAUAGGGAGACGUAUCCUUUCUCAACUUAA